rnacentral:rRNA from 1 species
UACCAGCUCUUCGAGUGGUGUGGAUAUUUAUUGGGCUUAAAGCGUCCGUAGCCGGCUUAGCAAGUCUCCUGUUAAAUUCAGCGACCUAAUCGUUGAGCCGCGGGAGAUACUAUUAGGCUAGGAGGCGGGAGAGGUCAACGGUACUUCCGGGGUAGGGGUGAAAUCCUAUAAUCCCGGGAGGACCACCAGUGGCGAAGGCUGUUGACUAGAACGCGCUCGACGGUGAGGGACGAAAGCUGGGGGAGCGAACCGGAUUAGAUACCCGGGUAGUCCCAGCUGUAAACGAUGCGGGCUAGGUGUUGGGGUGGCUACGUGCCACUUCAGUGCCGCAGGGAAGCCAUUAAGCUCGCCGCCUGGGGAGUACGGCCGCAAGGCUGAAACUUAAAGGAAUUGGCGGGGGAGCACCACAAGGCGUGAAGCUUGCGGUUC